AUUCAUAUUUCGUAUUUUCGAGAAAAUUUUUCUUUUCAGUUUCAGUUACGAUUUCUCGUUGCAAUGUACACAAAAAAUGCACGAAAAGCGACAACUUUCCGAUCGCUGAUAUCUUCUUGAAACGCGCGCUAGGAUCAAAUUGAUCAUCGCCUCUAUCAGACGACCAGGUGGCUAAUUUUCAUUUAAAUGGAACGACAAGUGAGCGCUGUAGGCAUUCCACCACCUUCGCUCUAAAAGAGACCCACGCGAUCUCUCUUUUCCUCGCCCUCGGGCUAACUACCGCAAAACCAAGAUGCAAAACGCUCUUGAAACUUGUGGCAAAAGUUUAAUUGUCUUUUGCUUGCGUUCUAUCUAGGAUUCCGCACCGACGGGACGACGUGCUCCCGCAUCUAUAAUCUCCUCGAUAAAUACAAAAUUCACUGUCUUAUAUAAUACACAUAUUCAGAGAAUAUGGCAAUUGUUUUCAUUUUUCUCUCAAACAUAAGAGAAUUUUGCUAAAAAAUUUUAGUUUUUCGUAAAAUUUUCAAAAAUGUUUAACGUCAACAAAAAUUUAGAAAUUCAUUGCUAUUACAAAUCAUAAAGGACAAUAAAUUAUCCGUCGAAAAGAAUACAAAAGAGCGAUAUGUUGAAGAAAAUAUGUUGUAAUAUUAUGUGCAAAGAAAAGAAAGAAUAAAGAUAUAAAAAAGAUCCACCGUUUACGUAUUGUUUGACAGUUUCUUGAACUAAUCAGUCGCAACUAAAUUUGCAGUUCAUUAAAAUUCAAUACAUCAUGGCCAAUCAUCGAUCAGAAUAUAUCUGCAGCUACUUGAGAAGGCCGGAUUUACUUAGUCGACGUUAAACUUAAUAAGAUCGCUUCAUGAAGCGGAGUUUGUUCGUAAUCGGGAUCAGCAUCGAUUCGACGUAGGGCGUACACGAGCGAUUUGCAUAUUUGUUAUCGCCCCGGGGGCCGAAAUCGAUUAAACGGGCGGAACUAAAAUUAAUUAUUGAAAUAAUUAUCGGCUUUCUCUCUGUCGUGGUACCGUCAUCGAAGCCAGACUCCGCGACACCCAAAA